rnacentral:rRNA from 1 species
AGUGAACGCUGGCGGUAGGCCUAACACAUGCAAGUCGAACGGCAGCACAGUAAGAGCUUGCUCUUACGGGUGGCGAGUGGCGGACGGGUGAGGAAUACAUCGGAAUCUACUUUUUCGUGGGGGAUAACGUAGGGAAACUUACGCUAAUACCGCAUACGACCUACGGGUGAAAGCAGGGGAUCUUCGGACCUUGCGCGAUUGAAUGAGCCGAUGUCGGAUUAGCUAGUUGGCGGGGUAAAGGCCCACCAAAGCGACGAUCCGUAGCUGGUCUGAGAGGAUGAUCAGCCACACUGGAAGUGAGACACGGUCCAGACUCCGACGGGAGGCAGCAGUGGGGAAUAUAGGACAAAGGGCGCAAGCCUGAUCCAGCCAUACCGGGUGGGUGAAGAAGGCCUUCGGGUGGUAAAGCCCUUUUGUUGGGAAAGAAAAGCAGCAGGUUAAUACCCCGCUGUUCUGACGGUACCCAAAGAAUAAGCACCGGCUAACUUCGU